ACGCUGGCGGCGUGCCUAAUACAUGCAAGUAGAACGCUGAAGCUUGGUGCUUGCACCGAGCGGAAGAGUUGCGAACGGGUGAGUAACGCGUAGGUAACCUGCCUCUUAGCGGGGGAUAACUAUUGGAAACGAUAGCUAAUACCGCAUAAAAGUCGACAUUGCAUGAUGUUGACUUGAAAGGUGCAACUGCAUCACUAAGAGAUGGACCUGCGUUGUAUUAGCUAGUUGGUGAGGUAACGGCUCACCAAGGCGACGAUACAUAGCCGACCUGAGAGGGUGAUCGGCCACACUGGGACUGAGACACGGCCCAGACUCCUACGGGAGGCAGCAGUAGGGAAUCUUCGGCAAUGGACGGAAGUCUGACCGAGCAACGCCGCGUGAGUGAAGAAGGUUUUCGGAUCGUAAAGCUCUGUUGUAAGAGAAGAACGAGUGUGAGAGUGGAAAGUUCACACUGUGACGGUAACUUACCAGAAAGGGACGGCUAACUACGUGCCAGCAGCCGCGGUAAUACGUAGGUCCCGAGCGUUAUCCGGAUUUAUUGGGCGUAAAGCGAGCGCAGGCGGUUAGAUAAGUCUGAAGUUAAAGGCUGUGGCUUAACCAUAGUACGCUUUGGAAACUGUUUAACUUGAGUGCAGAAGGGGAGAGUGGAAUUCCAUGUGUAGCGGUGAAAUGCGUAGAUAUACGGAGGAACACCGGUGGCGAAAGCGGCUCUCUGGUCUGUAACUGACGCUGAGGCUCGAAAGCGUGGGGAGCAAACAGGAUUAGAUACCCUGGUAGUCCACGCCGUAAACGAUGAGUGCUAGGUGUUGGGUCCUUUCCGGGACUCAGUGCCGUAGCUAACGCAUUAAGCACUCCGCCUGGGGAGUACGACCGCAAGGUUGAAACUCAAAGGAAUUGACGGGGGCCCGCACAAGCG
rnacentral:rRNA from 1 species